rnacentral:rRNA from 1 species
CGCUCUUUGAAGUACAAAAAUAAAGAGUCGUGCCUGCCCAGUGAUAACUUUAAACGGCCGCAGUACCCUGACUGUGCUAAGGUAGCAUAAUCACUUGCUCUUUAAUUGAGAGCUAGAAUGAAUGGCUUGACGAAAACAUUACUGUCUCUUUUACAUUAACUAAAAAUUAAUCUUUAGAUGAAAAAGUCUAAAUAAAUUCAAAAGACGAAAAGACCCUAUCGAGCUUAAAAUCAAUUUUAAUUCUAACAUACUAGAUAAAACAAAAUUAAAAUAUAAUUUUUUGUUGGGGCGACAGAAGAACAUAUAAAGCUUCUUUUAAUUUAAUAAACCAAUAAGUUUAAAAGAUCCAUUAAUAUUGACUAAAAGAAAAGUUACCGUAGGGAUAACAGCGUAAUUUCUUUGGAGAGCUCAAAUUGAAAAAGAAGUUUGCGACCUCGAUGUUGGAUUAAAAAAUCUUUUUGAUGCAGCAGUCAAAAAAGAAGGUCUGUUCGACCUUUAAAAUUUU